UGUAAGUAUACAAAUUCGUUUUUACUUUGUUAUAUUUAUUGCUUGUAGGAUCAUUAUAUCACAUUUUUCUAGAAAAAAGAAUGUUUCCACAUCCGAAGCAGGACCUAGAUAGGUUUAUGGCGUGGGUUAAAGCCACGAAUAGGCCAAAAUUUGCGGUAUUAACCAGUGACCAAGUUUAUCGAAGAGAGUACGUUUGCUGCAGUACCAACGAUUUUGCCUUUUCAAGAUGAUACUGUACUUACAACAUCUCAUCUUCCUGACCCCAAUAAACGAAGAAUGUCCACAUUGCCCUCCCUUGCACUGGGCCUUCACAAUUGCAAUGUGUUCCAAAAAUCGGUCCUUAGGUGCAGUGUGUCUUCGUUCAUCUCAUGGAUUCUGUCUAUGACAGCGGUAAUGGAGAAUUUGGAGAAUGCGGUGGUGGUGUCAUACUUGUUGGCUAGAAGGAACACUUUUCCCAGCAACCUUUUACAAAUUUUUAUUUUAAUCAAGAUACUUUAGAGAAUUUUUCGGGUCAGUUAAGACAAUAUCGAGUACGAACGAGGAUUCGUGCCAUUUUAUAAAUCAUUGGUGAUGAAGAAUUUUUGCUUCUAUCAUUCUCGUGGAUCUAAUUCUGAACAAGAAGAGGACUGAUUUGUGGUCACAAUUAAGGAGUUUCUUGGUCUUCAAACAACUCGAACGUAUAGCGAAGAUUAGUGAAAGCCGCCACCAGUUCCUGAUACUGUAUCAAAGGAUACCUAAUCUUUACGGCCAGAAUGUUGUAGGCUGCAUUGGCGGAUUUCUAGUCAAAGAUAUGUCACAACAACACAGUAUUUUCAGUCCUAUAACUUAUUUGUCACUUUAAUUUAGCAGAUAAAGCUGAUGUAUUUUGAAAAAUUAAGUGUAACUUAGUGUUUAGAAUAAAAAGUUUUAGGAAUCAGUUAUCA